rnacentral:tRNA from 1 species
GUGGUUGUGGCUCAGUGGUAGAGCUCUUGCCUCCAAUGUGUGAGGCACUGGGUUCAAUUCUCAGCAUCAUA